rnacentral:lncRNA from 1 species
CAAAUGUAUAGCUGGUGAUAAGACAAGAUGGCAAUAGCACAGGACUGCCCUGGUGGAGACUCUGUGACAACCACCUGGAUAGUUUGAGAACUGCUGCUUUUGCUGCUUGAAGUCCAGACUAAGGAAGGAUGCAAGCCCCCAAAGAACUAGAUGAGAGUCUAUGAAUCAAAAACAUGGAGCUGGGAGGAAUCUCACAUGUUGGUACCAGGAGAGACCCAAUCAUAAGAACAUAGAUUUGGAGCAGGAAGAAACUUUGGAGAUCAUUAACUCCAACUCUCCUCAUUUUGUAGAAGAUAGGAGUUAAGUGACUUGCCCUGGGCCACACAGGCAACUCAUCCAAGUCCAGUGGCAAGACAAAAGUCCAAGACAACUGGUGAUGACCAGGAUUCAGUGGAUGACCUUUCUUUGAUGUCUGACUAAACUCUUAGCUUUUCACAGUACCUACUUCAGCCCCCUUCCUGGUCACUGGAAUGAAUUGUUCUCUUUCCCCUUCUGAUGGGGGAGUGUCUUCACAUGCCUGGGGUAGACACCCCCUAACUCACCAAUGGGUUAGAAGAUUGCUGGUUAUUUUCAACCUGGUUUAACCCAUCUGCCAAGACAGUUUUACCAGAGCAUGGUCACUGUGCAUGCUACAGCAUCUUGGAGCCAUAAGUAAGAGCUGAGUGGACACCAAAGGUGGUUGAGCAACCCUGUAAAGGCCCAGAAAGUCCUCGCACUAGAGGUGUUAGUCUUCUCUGAAUACCCUGUACAUCCCAGAAAAGAGUGUAUAGAUUGUCCAAUUGAUCUUCUCUGCUGAAUCAGGCACUUUUCUCCUCAAGGCUGGCUCUAAACAGUUGCUGUGAACUCCAAUUGCUGGGCUUCUGGUGGCUCUUCCAGUUUUCCAAAGCUUUUCACCUAAAAAGCAGAAAAGAGUAAAUACAAUAAAAAGAAGUCAUGUUGGUACUGUGUAUUCA